rnacentral:rRNA from 1 species
GCCUGCGGCUUAAUUUGACUCAACACGGGAAAACUUACCCGGCCCGGACACUGGAAGGAUUGACAGAUUAAGAGCUCUUUCUUGAUUCAGUGGAUGGUGGUGCAUGGCCGUUCUUAGUUGGUGGAGCGAUUUGUCUGGUUAAUUCCGAUAACGAACGAGACUCUAGCCUACUAAAUAGACGAACGAUCACUGGAGUCGUUCGAUCUUCUUAGAGGGACAAGCGGCUUUUAGCCGCACGAGACAGAGCAAUAACAGGUCUGUGAUGCCCUUAGAUGUCCGGGGCCGCACGCGCGCUACACUGAAGGAAUCAGCGUGCGUUUACCCCUGUCCGGCAGGACUGGGUAACCCGAUCAACCUCCUUCGUGAUAGGGAUAGGGGCUUGUAAUUCUUGCCCUUGAACGAGGAAUUCCCAGUAAGCACGAGUCAUAAGCUCGUGUUGAUUACGUCCCUGCCCUUUGUACACACCGCCCGUCGCUACUACCGAUUGAAUGAUUUAGUGAGGUCUUCGGACUGGCGCUCGGCGCGGCCUUACUGGUCGCGCCGGCGUGCCGGAAAGAUGACCGAACUUGAUUAUUUAGAGGAAGUAAAAGUCGUAACAAGGUNNCCGUAGGUGAACCUGCGGAAGGAUCAUUACCGAUUCGGCGAGGCCGAGAGCCUUGUCCGGUCACAAUACAUGCAGACAGAGCAAUAGACCGGUUGGGGGUGUCUGUUCCCGCGGCACUGUGCCCUGGCGCGAAGCGUCUUGGCGUCGCGGGGGUGCCCGUCCCUCGGGUCGCAAGUCGGCGACACACGAGAGGAUAGGCGCUAGGCGUAAGAGCAACCGCCACCCCCGGAGAGACGGGACGCCCAGUGCGUGCCGUCCGAACGGACGUGUCGUAGCCCAGUGCUUCGUCGUCCGACGGAAAAGUAACUAUGACAUAACUAUGACGAGGAAAGAGAGAAGUAACUAUGACGAAAGAGGGAGAAGUUCCCCGCAUUUGCGGGGAAGAACUCGGACCAAGUCCGGGGAAGAGAGUAUCUAGCCAACUCUCAAAGUAUCAAAUGCCUCGUCAUCUAAUUGGGAGAAGUUCCCCGCAUUUGCGGGGAAGAACUCGGACCAGUCCGGGGAAGAGAGUAUCUAGCCACUCUCAAAGUAUCAAAUGCCUCGUCAUCUAAUUGACGCAAAAUUCGGACAAAGUCCGGCCGAGAGAAAGGAAACCGCAGGUCAGUGUGUGUGUGAGAGAGAGGAAAGGCGAUGGGGGACGCCUUAUGAGAGAGGAGGAGAGAGAGAGGAAAGGCGAGCCAGGGGCGCCUUAUGGUAGGAGGAGAGAGAGGCAAGGCGAGUUGGACGCCUUACGAGAGAGGAGGAGAAGGCGGAGGAGCGGCGCCUUAUGAGAGAGAAGGUGGGAUGUGANAGAGGAGGAGAGAGAAGGCGGGUUGCGACGCCUUGUGAGAGAGGAGGAGAGAGAGAAGUUCCCUGCUGUAGCGGGGAAAUGAAACACGGACCACCGACUCGGCCGGGUUAAGUCCGAGAAAUAUACAGCGUCUACGGACGCUCGGUACAUGUGCUUAAACUUAAAAAGCGUCUACGGACGCUCGAGAAACUUCUCCGGGGUUUUCUCUUUAUAAAUAACAAAUGCCUCAAACUCGUCAUCAUGAAAUGCCGGACAAAGUCCGAGAUAGUAGCAAAUACCUCGUCAUCUAUGUUGUCGGACAAAGUCCGAGAGGGCAGUCGAAGUAGCAAAUGUCUCGUCAUCUAAUUGACGGGAAAAGAGAGUAACUAUGACAGGGAGAGCAGCGACGGGCCACCGCCCGGCGACGAGGGGCCAGGCAGCCGAUGGAGGCCAACCCGCGUGGACCACUAUAGCCGGUUCCGCCUCCGCAGAAAAGGGUGAAGUCCGAAGUGGUCUAGGACGAUCCCAAGAGGCCGCCACGGGUUUCCGAGAAGCCGGCACAGGCUGCGGUUGCUGUAUCUCUCCCAUACAAUGUAGGUAAGGGAAAUAUGAAGUUACUCUCUACAGUGAGCCAAUGUAGGUAAAUUGUUGGACUGCCUGUCUCGGUUGUUGACAAUGUAGGUAAGACGUGGGCGCCUACUCUCGGGGUCUCGGCCCCGGGGUGUGCCUUCGCCGUCGGCGGAGGUGCUAGGCGUAACGAGCCGAAAGGCCGGCCCGAAACUUUGAAACACCAUAACUAUGACAUAGAGCUAAUACUAAGUACAACUCGAAGUGGUGGAUCACUCGGCUCACGGGUCGAUGAAGAACGCAGCCAGCUGCGAGACUUGGUGUGAAUUGCAGGACACAUGAAGUCCGAAGUGGUCUAGGACGAUCCCAAGAGGCCGCCACGGGUUUCCGAGAAGCCGGCACAGGCUGCGGUUGCUGUAUCUCUCCCAUACAAUGUAGGUAAGGGAAAUAUGAAGUUACUCUCUACAGUGAGCCAAUGUAGGUAAAUUGUUGGACUGCCUGUCUCGGUUGUUGACAAUGUAGGUAAGACGUGGGCGCCUACUCUCGGGGUCUCGGCCCCGGGGUGUGCCUUCGCCGUCGGCGGAGGUGCUAGGCGUAACGAGCCGAAAGGCCGGCCCGAAACUUUGAAACACCAUAACUAUGACAUAGAGCUAAUACUAAGUACAACUCGAAGUGGUGGAUCACUCGGCUCACGGGUCGAUGAAGAACGCAGCCAGCUGCGAGACUUGGUGUGAAUUGCAGGACACACC